ACUUAGAGUACUUGGAUCUAACGGAGGACAUGACACAAAACCGAGCGCAAUGGCGUUCUAGGAUUCAUAUAGCCGACCCCACUUAGUGGGAAAAGGCUUUGUUGUUGUUGUUGUUGUUGUUGUUAUCUCGUGAAUGGCACAUAUGGUAUGGGGACCGGAGAACCUCAUGCCUUCGAAAGUUUUAGUAGUGCGAGGGCUCGAUGUUUCCAUCUGGCCGCUGUCCUGCUUGAGUUGAGUUGCCUUUGAUUGGAUUUUUUGUAAAGGGUGAUGAGUGCAGCACCAUACAAUUUCGACAAGAAAUCACCGGAAUAUGGCACUCCGGAAUCCAACGGAGUGAAUUUUGGUCAACAAGGAGAACAACGAUGAUGUUCGAUGCUAAAGCAGAAGGGAUAAUGAUUUCAAAAUUUGCGUAGUACAAGUUAAAUAUGUAAAUCACAUUGUCAUUCUUUGUGAAAAAUAACAGUUAUCCUUACUGUUUUAGAAUUUAAGUUUAGUCCCGAAGUGUUGUUGUAGUAGGGUUUUGGCCCGCUACUUUUUUUUUUUUUUUUGAUGCUAGUCGGAUCCUUUUCCCCGUAUCUGACUCUGUAAUGUUGAACGAACAACUUUGUGUAACAUAUAAACUUCUAUUGUUAUUGUUGUUGUUGUUCAGUUGUGAAAAUAACUUUGUGUAAUAUGUAAACAUAUGUUUUAAAUUAAUAAAAAUGUUCAACCUUUCAAA